ACGAACGCUGGCGGCGUGCUUAACACAUGCAAGUCGAGCGGUAAGGCCUCUUCGGGGGUACACGAGCGGCGAACGGGUGAGUAACACGUGAGUAAUCUGCCCUUCACUUCGGGAUAAGCUUCGGAAACGGGGUCUAAUACCGGAUACGACACUUUCAGGCAUCUGAUGAGUGUGGAAAGUUUUUUCGGUGGGGGAUGUGCUCGCGGCCUAUCAGCUUGUUGGUGGGGUAAUGGCCUACCAAGGCUUCGACGGGUAGCCGGCCUGAGAGGGUGACCGGCCACACUGGGACUGAGACACGGCCCAGACUCCUACGGGAGGCAGCAGUGGGGAAUAUUGGACAAUGGGCGGAAGCCUGAUCCAGCAACGCCGCGUGAGGGAUGACGGCCUUCGGGUUGUAAACCUCUUUCAGUACCGACGAAGCGAGAGUGACGGUAGGUACAGAAGAAGCACCGGCCAACUACGU
rnacentral:rRNA from 1 species